rnacentral:rRNA from 1 species
UAGAGUUUGAUCCUGGCUCAGGAUGAACGCUGGCGGCGUGCCUUAGGCAUGCAAGUCGAAUGGUCCUCGUAAGAGGGCAAUGGCAGACGGGUGAGUAACGCGUAGGAAUCUACCUCUGGGUAGGGCAUAGCUGGCCGAAAGGUCAGGUAAUUCCCUAUAGUCUCGCAAGAGUAAAGGACUUAACGGUCCGCCGAGAGAGGAGCCUGCGUCCUAUCAGCUAGUUGGUGAGGUAAAGGCUCACCAAGGCGAUGACGGGUAGCUGGACUGAGAGGUCGAUCAGCCACAACUGCACUGAGACACGGGCAGUACACCUACGGGUGGCAGCAACCAGGAAUAUUGCGCAAUGGACGAAAGUCUGACGCAGCGACGCCGCGUGGAGGAAGACGGCCUUAGGGUUGUAAACUCCUUUUGCCAAGCCGUUCACAGCUUGGAGAAUAAGCCUCUACUAACUACGUGCCAGAAGUCUCGGUAAUACGUAGGAGGCAAGCGUUAUCCGGAUUUACUGGGCGUAAAGUGUGCGUAGGCGCCCCAUUAAGUCGUGCUUUAAAGACUAAGGCUUACCCUUAGAGCUGAGUACGAUACUGUUGGGGUUGAGGAUUUAUAGGGAAGCUGGGACAGUACGUGUUACCGUGAAAUGCGUUGAUAUGUACUGGAACACCAAGGGCGAAAGGCCGCUUCUGGGGUUUUUCCUGACCCUGAGGACGAAAGCUAGGGUACCGAAACCAAUUAAAUCCCCUGUGUAUCCUAACCCUAAACGAUGUCCCCUAACUUGCCUCCCCANAAACUAAGAAUUUAAUUAAUGUGGAAUGUUAAAGAAUUAUGGAAAGUGGUUCUUCCUUCAAAUCCAUAAAAAUAUCCGCUA